AGGACGAACGCUGGCGGCGUGCUUAACACAUGCAAGUCGAGCGGUAAGGCCCUUCGGGGUACACGAGCGGCGAACGGGUGAGUAACACGUGGGUGACCUGCCCCCUACUCUGGGAUAAGCCUGGGAAACUGGGUCUAAUACCGGAUAUGACCUUCCGUUGCAUGAUGGUGGGUGGAAAGUGGUGUUUUCGGACACUGUCGGUGGGGGAUGGGCCCGCGGCCUAUCAGCUUGUUGGUGGGGUGAUGGCCUACCAAGGCGACGACGGGUAG
rnacentral:rRNA from 1 species